rnacentral:rRNA from 1 species
GGGGGGGGCUGGGGGCGGGCGUGGGGGGGGCGGGGCGAGCGGCGAGGCGGGGAGGGGGGUGCGGGGACGUUAGCGGCGUGGGGGGGGGGGACACGGGUACAAGCUGCCUAGAGGACGGGGAGCAUUUCGGAAAGCCGGCGCUACUACCGGAUGAUCUAGUUAACAGCGUUGGUCGCUAGCUAAUCAAGUUUUUGGUGGUACGUCUAGCUGUAUCCGCUCCGCAUUCGCUAGUUGGUAAGGUAACGGCGUACCACGGCAACCAAGGGUAGACGACCUGAGGGGGUGAUAGCCCACACUGGAUCUGAGCCACGGUCCAGACUCCUACGGGAGGCAGCAGUAGGGAAUCUUCCGCAAUGGGCGAAAGCCUGACGGAGCAACGCCGCGUGAGUGAUGAAGGUCUUCGGAUCGUAAAACUCUGUUAUUAGGGAAGAACAAAUGUGUAAGUAACUAUGCACGUCUUGACGGUACCUAAUCAGAAAGCCACGGCUAACUACGUG